AAGUCGUAACAAGGUUUCCGUAGGUGAACCUGCGGAAGGAUCAUUACAGAAAUAAACUUGGUGGGUUGUUGCUGGCCCCUCGGGGCAUUCGUGCACGCCUAUCAUCUUUAUCUUUCCACCUGUGCACCCUAUGUAGGAGGACCGCUCACCGUGGGGGCUGCUAGUUCCCCGUUGGUAGCGUAGCCCUACGUAUCUUAUUUUACCACAUGAAUGUUGUCGAACGCAUAGACAUGGGCUUUAAGCCUAUAACAAUCUAUACAACUUUCAGCAACGGAUCUCUUGGCUCUC
rnacentral:misc_RNA from 1 species